GUCAGGAUGGCUGAGUGGUCCAAGGCGCUGCAUUCAGGUUGUAGCCUCUCCUGGAGGUGUGGGUUCAAAUCCCACUUCUGACA